GACGAACGCUGGCGGCGUGCUUAACACAUGCAAGUCGAAUGAAGUGGCGACCGGGUGUGUAACGCGUAAUCAACCUGCCCUUCAGAGGGUGACAACAGUUGGAAACGACUGCUACUACCUCCUACUGAAGGAGGUGAUUGCGUCUGAUUAGCUGGUUGGGGGGGUAACGGCCCACCAAGGCGAUGAUCAGUAGCCGGUCUUGGAGGAUGGACGGCCACAGUGGGACUGAGGCACGGCCCAGAAUCCUACGGGAGGCAGCAGUGGGGAAUCUUCGGCAAAGGACGAAAGUCUGACGGAGCAAAGCCGGGUGGGGGAUGACGGCCUUCGGGGUGUAAAGCUCUGUUAGGCGGGACGCGGUACCGGAAUAGAAAGCCACGGCUAACUACGUGCCAGCAGCCGCGGUAAUAC
rnacentral:rRNA from 1 species